AUAGCUUGCUAUUUUUAUGAAGAGCGGCGAACGGGUGAGUAACGCGUGGGAAAUCUGCCGAGUAGCGGGGGACAACGUUUGGAAACGAACGCUAAUACCGCAUAACAAUGAGAAUCGCAUGAUUCUUAUUUAAAAGAAGCAAUUGCUUCACUACUUGAUGAUCCCGCGUUGUAUUAGCUAGUUGGUAGUGUAAAGGACUACCAAGGCGAUGAUACAUAGCCGACCUGAGAGGGUGAUCGGCCACACUGGGACUGAGACACGGCCCAGACUCCUACGGGAGGCAGCAGUAGGGAAUCUUCGGCAAUGGGGGCAACCCUGACCGAGCAACGCCGCGUGAGUGAAGAAGGUUUUCGGAUCGUAAAACUCUGUUGUUAGAGAAGAACGUUAAGUAGAGUGGAAAAUUACUUAAGUGACGGUAUCUAACCAGAAAGGGACGGCUAACUACGUGCCAGCAGCCGCGGUAAUACGUAGGUCCCAAGCGUUGUCCGGAUUUAUUGGGCGUAAAGCGAGCGCAGGUGGUUUCUUAAGUCUGAUGUAAAAGGCAGUGGCUCAACCAUUGUGUGCAUUGGAAACUGGGAGACUUGAGUGCAGGAGAGGAGAGUGGAAUUCCAUGUGUA
rnacentral:rRNA from 1 species